rnacentral:rRNA from 1 species
AGCUCCAAUAGCGUAUAUUAAAGUUGUUGCAGUUAAAAAGCUCGUAGUUGGAUUUGUGGAAUGGCGUGCCGGUGCGAUCUUCUGAUCGUGACUUGGUUUGCUGUUCCAUCCUUGGGUGGAAUCUGUGUGGCAUUAAGUUGUCGUGCAGGGGAUGCCCAUCUUUUACUGUGAAAAAAUUAGAGUGUUCAAAGCAGGCUUAUGCCGUUGAAUAUAUUAGCAUGGAAUAAUGAGAUAGGACCUUGGUACUAUUUUGUUGGUUUGCGCACCGAGGUAAUGAUUAAUAGGGACAGUUGGGGGUAUUCGUAUUCCAUUGUCAGAGGUGAAAUUCUUGGAUUUUUGGAAGACGAACUACUGCGAAAGCAUUUACCAAGGAUGUUUUCA